rnacentral:rRNA from 1 species
UGCAGUCGAACGAUGAUCCCAGCUUGCUGGGGGAUUAGUGGCGAACGGGUGAGUAACACGUGAGUAACCUGCCCUUGACUCUGGGAUAAGCCUGGGAAACUGGGUCUAAUACCGGAUAUGACCGCUCUGACGCAUGUCAGGUGGUGGAAAGCUUUUGUGGUUUUGGAUGGACUCGCGGCCUAUCAGCUUGUUGGUGGGGUAAUGGCCUACCAAGGCGACGACGGGUAGCCGGCCUGAGAGGGUGACCGGCCACACUGGGACUGAGACACGGCCCAGACUCCUACGGGAGGCAGCAGUGGGGAAUAUUGCACAAUGGGCGCAAGCCUGAUGCAGCGACGCCGCGUGAGGGAUGACGGCCUUCGGGUUGUAAACCUCUUUCAGUAGGGAAGAAGCGAAAGUGACGGUACCUGCAGAAGAAGCGCCGGCUAACUACGUGCCAGCAGCCGCGGUAAUACGUAGGGCGCAAGCGUUAUCCGGAAUUAUUGGGCGUAAAGAGCUCGUAGGCGGUUUGUCGCGUCUGCUGUGAAAGACCGGGGCUCAACUCCGGUUCUGCAGUGGGUACGGGCAGACUAGAGUGAUGUAGGGGAGACUGGAAUUCCUGGUGUAGCGGUGAAAUGCGCAGAUAUCAGGAGGAACACCGAUGGCGAAGGCAGGUCUCUGGGCAUUAACUGACGCUGAGGAGCGAAAGCAUGGGGAGCGAACAGGAUUAGAUACCCUGGUAGUCCAUGCCGUAAACGUUGGGCACUAGGUGUGGGGGACAUUCCACGUUUUCCGCGCCGUAGCUAACGCAUUAAGUGCCCCGCCUGGGGAGUACGGCCGCAAGGCUAAAACUCAAAGGAAUUGACGGGGGCCCGCACAAGCGGCGGAGCAUGCGGAUUAAUUCGAUGCAACGCGAAGAACCUUACCAAGGCUUGACAUGACCGGUAAUACCUGGAAACAGGUGCCCCGCUUGCGUCGUUUACAGUGGUGCAUGAUGUCGUCAGCUCGUGUCGUGAGAUGU